UACGAAGGGGGCUAGCGUUGUUCGGAUUUACUGGGCGUACAGGGAGCGUAGGCGGUUGGAUAAGCCCUCCGUGAAAUCUCCAGGCUUAACCUGGAAAGUGCAGAGGGGACUGUUCAGCUAGAGGAUGGGAGAGGAGCGCGGAAUUCCCGGUGUAGCGGUGAAAUGCGUAGAGAUCGGGAGGAAGGCCGGUGGCGAAGGCAGCCCCCUGGGCUAACACUGACGCUCAGGCACGAAAGCGUGGGGAGCAAACAGG
rnacentral:rRNA from 1 species